rnacentral:rRNA from 1 species
GACGAACGCUGGCGGCGUGCUUAACACAUGCAAGUCGAACGAGAAUCUACUGAAGGAGGAUUCGUCCAACGGAAGUAGAGGAAAGUGGCGGACGGGUGAGUAACGCGUGAGGAACCUGCCUUGAAGAGGGGGACAACAGUUGGAAACGACUGCUAAUACCGCAUGAAGCAUAGGGGUCGCAUGAUUCUUAUGCCAAAGAUUUAUCGCUUCAAGAUGGCCUCGCGUCUGAUUAGCUAGUUGGCGGGAUAACGGCCCACCAAGGCGACGAUCAGUAGCCGGACUGAGAGGUUGAACGGCCACAUUGGGACUGAGAUACGGCCCAGACUCCUACGGGAGGCAGCAGUGGGGAAUAUUGGGGCAAUGGGCGCAAGCCUGACCCAGCAACGCCGCGUGAAGGAAGAAGGCUUUCGGGUUGUAAACUUCUUUUAAGAGGGAAGAGCAGAAGACGGUACCUCUAGAAUAAGCCACGGCUAACUACGUG